GUCAGGCGUGGUGGCUCACGCCUGUAAUCCCAGCACUUUGGGAGGCUGAGGCAGGUGGAUCACCUGAGGUCAGGAGUUUGAGACCAGCCUGGCCAACAUGGUGAAACCCUGUCUCUA
rnacentral:SRP_RNA from 1 species